GUGGGGAAUCUUAGACAAUGGGCGCAAGCCUGAUCUAGCCAUGCCGCGUGAGCGAUGAAGGCCUUAGGGUUGUAAAGCUCUUUCGCUGGGGAAGAUAAUGACUGUACCCAGUAAAGAAGCCCCGGCUAACUCCGUGCCAGCAGCCGCGGUAAUACGGAUGGGGCUAGCGUUGUUCGGAAUUACUGGGCGUAAAGCGCGCGUAGGCGGAUUGGAAAGUUGGGGGUGAAGUCCCGGGGCUCAACCUCGGAACUGCCUUCAAAACUCCCAGUCUUGAGUUCGAGAGAGGUGAGUGGAAUUCCGAGUGUAGAGGUGAAAUUCGUAGAUAUUCGGAGGAACACCAGUGGCGAAGGCGGCUCACUGGCUCGAUACUGACGCUGAGGUGCGAAAGCGUGGGGAGCAAACAGGAUUAGAUACCCGAGUAGUCC
rnacentral:rRNA from 1 species